rnacentral:lncRNA from 1 species
CGAUCUGAGAAUUUCCAGCAAAUCGAAGCAGACAUGAAGUUCUCCUACUUGAUCUCUGUUUUUUUCCUCUUUUCUUCCCUUUUCCUGCUAAGGGAUUCAGGUAUUGUACAGCGUAUGCUUAGAUUGUGGCAGGCACUGAAAUAGCCAGCAAUGCUGCUGUAAUGGGGAAGGGGUUUUCUUAACAAUGGCAAAGUUCCCAGAAACAGUGUUGUUUGCUCUGUCUUGCAUGCACAAAAAAUAUUAUAAAUAUUAGGGUGAGGGUGGGUUUUUUUCAUAGAAUCAUAAAAUCAUAGAAUCAUAGAGUUGGAAGAGACCACAAGGGCCAUCGAGUCCAACCCCCUGCCAUGCAGGAAACACCAUCAGAGCACUCCUAACAUAUGGUUGUCAAGCCUCUGCUUAAAGACCUCCAAAGAAGGAGACUCCACCACACUCCUUGGCAGCAAAUUCCACUGUCGAACAGCUCUUACUGUCAGGAAGUUCUUCCUAAUGUUUAGGUGGAAUCUUCUUUCUUGUAGUUUGGAUCCAUUGCUCCGUGUCCGCUUCUCUGGAGCAGCAGAAAACAACCUUUCUCCCUCCUCUAUGUGACAUCCUUUUAUAUAUUUGAACAUGGCUAUCAUAUCACCCCUUAACCUCCUCUUCUCCAGGCUAAACAUGCCCAGCUCCUUAGCCGUUCCUCAUAAGGCAUCGUUUCCAGGCCUUUGACCAUUUUGGUUGCCCUCCUCUGGACACGUUCCAGUUUGUCAGUGUCCUUCUUGAACUGUGGUGCCCAGAACUGGACACAGUACUCCAGGUGAGGUCUGACCAGAGCAGAAUACAGUGGCACUAUUACUUCCCUUGAUCUAGAUGCUAUACUCCUAUUGAUGCAGCCCCGAAUUGCAUUGGCAUUCUGAGCUGCCGCGUCACACUGUUGGCUCAUGUCAAGUUUGUGGUCAACCAAGACUCCUAGAUCCUUUUCACAUGUACUGCUCUCAAGCCAGGUGUCACCCAUCUUGUAUUUGUGCCUCUCAUUUUUUUUGCCCAAGUGCAAUACUUUACAUUUCUCCCUGUUAAAAUUCAUCUGUUUGUUUUGGCCCAGUUCUCUAAUCUGUCAAGGUCAUUUUGAAGUGUGAUCCUGUCCUCUGAGGUGUUAGCCACCCCUCCCAGUUUGGUGUCAUCUGCAAAUUUGAUCAGGAUGCCCUUGAGUCCAUCAUCCAAGUCGUUGAUAAAGAUGUUGAAUAAGACCGGGCCCAAGACAGAACCCUGUGGCACCCCACUAGUCACUCUUCUCCAGGAUGAAGAGGAACCAUUGAUGAGCACCCUUUGGGUUCGGUCAGUCAGCCAGUUACAAAUCCACUGAGUGGUAGCAUAGUCAAGACCACAUUUUACCAGCUUCUUUACAAGAAUAUCAUGGGGCACCUUGUCAAAUGCCUUGCUGAAAUCAAGGUAGGCUACAUCCACUGCGUUCCCUUCAUCUACCAGACUUGUAAUUCUGUCAAAAACGAGAUCAGGUUAGUCUGACAUGACUUAUUUUUCAGAAAUCCAUGCUGACUAUUGGUGAUCACAGCAUUCCUUUCUAGGUGCUCACAGACUGUUUGCUUAAUGAUCUGCUCCAGAAUCUUCCCUGGUAUUGAUGUCAGACUGACUGGGCGGUAAUUAUUUGGGUCCUCUCUUUUCCCUUUUUGAAAAUAGGGACAACAUUUGCCCUCCUCCAGUCUGCCGGGACUUUGCCUGUUCUCCAGGAAUUCUCAAAGAUGACUGCCAGUGGUUCUGAGAUCGCAUCUGCCAGUUCUUUUAAUACUCUUGGAUGCAGUUCAUCUGGCCCUAGAGACUUGAAUACAUCUAAACUAGCCAAGUAUUCUUGUACUAUCUCCUUAGUUAUUCUGGGCUGUGUUUCCUUUGCUGAAUCAUUUGCUCCAAAUUCUUCAGGUCGGGCAUUGUUUUCUUUAUCGGAGAAGACUGAGGCAAAGAAGGCAUUGAGGAGUUCAGCCCUUUCUGUGUCCCCUGUUUGCAUUUCACCAUCUUCUCCCCUGAGUGACCCCACUGUUUCUUUGUUCUUCCUUUUGCUACGAACAUACCCAUAAAAGCCUUUUUUGUUGCUUUUAACUUCUCUAGCAAGCCUGAGUUCAUUCUGUGCUUUAGCUUUUCUGACUUUGUGUCUACACGUGCUGGCUAUUUGUUUGAAUUCCUCUUUGGUGGUUUCCCCCCUUUUCCAUUUUUGUAAACAUCCUUUUUAAUCUUAACUCAGUUAAAAGUUCUUUAGAUAGCCACCCUGGCUUCUUUAGGCACCUUCCAUGUUUCCAUCUCAUUGGUAUUGCCUGACGUUGUGCUUUUACUAUCUCCCUCUUAACAAACUCCCAGCCAUCAUGAACUCCCUUUCCUUUUAGUAUUACUGUCCAUGGGAUCUCACCCAGCACUUCCCUAAGUUUUAUGAAGUCGGCUUUCUUAAAGUCAAGAAAUUGAGUCCUAGUAUGCUUGGCUGCUCCUUUCCGCUGUAUAGUAAACUUCAGAAGAGCAUGAUCACUCGCGCCUAAUGAUCCUUCCACUUUUGGGGGGGGAGUGGAGGGUUAAAAGAGAAAGUUUUAUUAUUUUGUUUUAAAAAAUGAUUUGGUUUUAUUUCUUAGCGUUUCCGUCAUGUUGUAGCUUGUGGAAAAGAGCAUGGUUUCAAAUGAAAUCUUAAAUUCAAACAAAGGAAAUUUAAAUUAUUUCAGAUGCUAAAAGCUCAUAAUCUUGGACAGAUGCCAUAAACCUUUUUCAGAGAGAUUGAACCAACCAUUUCUUUCUAUUUUUUAAAAGUAAAAGAACCAGAUAUCUUGUUUUUGAGAGUGAGUAUUAUACAGAUCGACAUUUAUACAGUCAUAUUUUGGAAGUCGAACGGAAUCUGUUUGGGAAGUCCGUUCGACUUCCAAAACAUUUGGAAACCAAAGCGCAGCUUCUGAUUGGCUGCAGAAAGCAGAGAACGGACUUAGAACGCUGUAGCUGGCAAGGAGCCCUAACUCAAAGCGAACCAAUGUUUUUCUUUCUUGCCUUAAGCUUACGCUUCUAAACCAUCUUCCCCAUCUUCCCCACCACAAUCGAAGGAGGAAUGUGACAAAGCCAAAGGGAAGUGCAUGCCGGAGAGGUGCAUGACUGCCUGGAAAAGAGUCGGGAAAUGCCUGCCAGACAAAGUCUGCUGCACACUUCCGUAAGAGAUCCCAUCAAUUCCCAUCAAACCCAGCCAGCAUGGUCAGUGGUCAGGGGGGUGUGGAACUGUGGUCUUGCAACUGCAGAGUCCUUGGCUGGUGAAUGAUGGCAUAAAGCAGACACAUCCAACAUCCAACAGGUUGCCACAUAUCAAAAACUGGCAGUGAUCUACCACAUUCUCCCAUUGUCAUUCUUCAACUUAAACAUAUUAUAUUUAGCUGGGGAAACCCAGCCAGGUGGGCAGGGUAUAAAUAAUAAAUUAUGAUAAAAAAAAACAAACAAAUUAUUACACCCCACACCAGCCCCCUCCCAGGGCCGUUGGUGCGCAUGGGAAGCCAAGACACCCCAAAAUGUCCCAUUCCACUUUUACCAUGGAGAGGGGGCGGUCAGUGGCUAGGCUGGAGCUGGAAAGGUGGGAAAUGUUCACCAACCCUGCAGAACUAGGAGGGAGAGCGACUUACUUUUCAGUAAAUGUAGCUCAAAUAUUGCCCAGUUAACCACAUGGCUGAGUUAGGAUUUUGAACCUGCUUCUCAUGCCUAGCCUGCGAGAGGGAAGUCGGGCAUGAUGUCGCCCAUUCAUGUCGCACGACAUUGAGAACAGUAAAUACAUUUAUGUCAUUGUCCUUGCUCCCUCUGUUUUCAGUAACGAGGAGCUGAGAAUAUGUUUUGCUUCUCUACCUUCAGGUAACGGAGUCGCACGAGAAUUGGCUGCUUUGAGGUUUUCUACAAUCAAGCAGUAUAUGAAUUUUAUGCAAUAAAUAAAUUCAAAGACCC